ACUUGGGUGGCUCAGUGGGUUAAGCAUCUGACCUCAGCUCAGGUCAUGAUCUCACAGUUUGUGGGUUCAAGCCCCGCAUCAGGUU
rnacentral:tRNA from 1 species